UCAGUCGGCUGGACGGCCGCUCCCGCUACGGUCGAAAGGCUGCGGGAGAGGAAAGUCCGGGCUCCAUCGACAUACGGUGCCGGCUAACGGCCGGCGGGGGCGACCCCAGGGAAAGUGCCACAGAGAACGAACCGCUUUCCGUAACCCGCAAGGGCGAGGCGAGUAAGGGUGAAAAGGUGCGGUAAGAGCGCACCGCGUCUCCGGCAACGGAGACGGCAUGGCAAACCACACCGGGAGCAAAACCGAAUAGGGACGGCAACGCAGUCAGUUCGCCCGGGCGAAAGCCCCGGCGAUAACACUUCAGGGCGAUGUCUUGCUCGCUGUCCGGGUAGGUUGCUUGAGGCCCCGUGCAAACGGGGUCCCAGAGGAAUGGCCGUCACGUAUCGUUCGGGCAACCGGACGGUGCCCUACAAAACCCGGCUUACAGGCCGGCUGAUACU
rnacentral:RNase_P_RNA from 5 species